GAAAAUUCUUUGAAUAGGAGUAGUAGGCAGAAUAUCUGGCUGCAGCGAGUCGGAGUUGGUGGAAGUCCGACGCUUUGAUUUCUGUUGAAUGGACCUAGGAGAAGCCAGGCGAAAUUGCAGUAGCCGCAGCCGGGAGUUUCCCGUUACAGAGACAGGAUAUCGAGUUCCAUACAGCUCCGUAUCCGGAUGAGAGAGAUAGAAGAUUUCUAUCUAAUUUGGGUGGUACCGCGGAAGCAAGCCUUUCGUCCCUAGU
rnacentral:ncRNA from 1 species